ensembl:lncRNA
GAUCUUAUGACUAUCUUAAGAAGAGUUUUUUUUUUGGCUAAUCCCCCAACCUAAGCUGCGACUGUAGGGAAGGCAAGAGCAAGGAGGCCUGUGAAAGGGACAUGGUCCAUGAAGCCCACAGAACCGUCAUCUCCCUCCUUUUUCUCUUAUGUGUUUUCUAUAUUUGUCAUGAUGAAAGUAUUAGAGACUUGUUAAAGAGAGCAAAGAACGGGAAAAUGCCCAUCGUUUUAAGAACCUUAAGAGCUGGAGCAAAUCAAAAGUGACCAGGUCCCGCCAAACCUUUUCCUGACAUCGUGGAAAGAGAAACAGUGAAAGAUGUGCUGAGCUAGGGGUGAGAGACUGGGCAAAGGUGAGUGGUGAGUGAUUAAACAUGGAAGAUUUCAUGCAUCAUGCUUAUCUAUUAUUUGCAGAGGUUUUUUAUUUUUAUUUUUUUUAAACCACCAAAUUGCAAGGGCUUUUAUAGCAAAGACUAACCAUCUCAUGACCAUCAACACUCCCUUGAAAUUGUUUUCUUCCUUUUUCUGUUAUAUAGGAAUGCAUUCCAAUUUAGGGCACUUUAACUGUCAGAAAUAUCAGAAAGAGCUUUUGCACUUUAUGCAAUCUUCCUAAACCCCUCUCCUGUAGACACAGAGUAAGAGCAAUUUUGAAGCAAUCCUUGGUGUUCUUCCCAUUGCCCUUUCACCCAGGAUGAGGCUUUCAGCUAAUUAGCUCUUCCUGACACCUCAAUGAGAGUUUUACUGUGCUCUACCUAGUAAGGUGGAUUGGGGGAGGUCACACAACUCUAGCCUUGCU